rnacentral:rRNA from 1 species
CCUACGGGUGGCAGCAGUAGGGAAUAUUGCUCAAUGGGGGAAACCCUGACGCAGCGACGCCGCGUGGAGGAUGAAGGUUUUCGGAUUGUAAACUCCUUUUGUCAGAGAAGAUAAUGACGGUAUCUAACGAAUAAGCAACGGCUAACUCCGUGCCAGCAGCCGCGGUAAUACGGAGGGUGCAAGCGUUACUCGUAAUCACUGGGCGUAAAGUGCGCGGAGGCGGGAUAGCAAGUCAGAUGUGAAAUCCUAGGGCUUAACCAUAGAACUGCAUUUGAAACUGUUAUUCUAGAGUAUGGGAGAGGUAAGUGGAAUUCUUGGUGUAGGAGUGAAAUCCGUAGAUAUCAAGAGGAAUACUCAUGGCGAAGGCGACCUGCUAGAACAUAACUGACGCUGAUGCGCGAAAGCGUGGGGAGCAAACAGGAUUAGAUACCCGAGUAGUC